GCUUUUAAUGAGACUCUGGAUAGUUACACCACAUGACAAUUUUUACUUUAAAGGGGCCAUGGCAUGAGGAAUCAAAUUUUCUGUGAUCUUUUCACAUGUAAGACCUCAUUGUACUAUCAAAACAUACUGUAAGUUUCAGAACUCAAAGCUUCCUCCUCAUUGCAAAAAGAGCAUUUGUUGAAACCAAGCUGCCAAAAUGACUCGUUCUCUUCUUCCUUAGACAUUUGCCUCUGACCGCCUUCAUAAUAACAUAUCAAUCCCUACUUUACUUUAUCAUCUCCGUAGCCCUGCCCAGUAGCGGUGAGCAGUAAGAUUACAAGGAGAGAGCAGGUCAGUCAAGAACAGAGAGCCAAUCACAAUAGUGGGUGUUUACUGUCAAGUCAUAAAGGAGAAGCAGCACCAAAACUGAGCGUUUCUAACAGAGGGUCAUAAUGGGGGUUGAAAAUGAUCAUGUUUACAAAUAUAUGAAGUUUUUUUUUACUUUACUACUAUUAUAAGUGAACCUCAAGGAACAUAUUAAAAUAAUAAAAAAAAAAACAUGUCAUGACCCGUUUAAGCCCCAGAAAAAAAUAUCAAAAUUACUUUGAACUCAGAAAUUGAAAAUAUGCUCAUCAUAGAAGAGGUAUAUUCAAGUUUUUUUAUUUAUUUAUUGAAUAAUUUAAUAGAUCUGGACAAAAAUAUGAGUGUCACAUCAUUGAACCUUGUAAAAUUCUGACUUGUUCAAUUCAAUUUUAUGAUAAAGUCUUUCUUAAUGUAAAUAGUUAAUGCUAUUAGUACUGCCGUUUUGCUUACACCUACAGAUGGCAGAUAGAUUUGAAGUUAUGAUGGAAAAUGAAAAAUAAUUGUACAGUUGCUGCCAAUAUCCUACUAUAUUUAUGAUGUACCAUGUUAUUUACAUUACAGAAUACCAUGACAUGUCCAAAAACAUGGUAUUGCCAUAAUGCAUGUCCAAAAUAAUGUGGUAUUACCAUAGUAUUUUUUGUUAGUGUGAUGUCUCAGGAUGAAUCUUCUCCUGCAGUUCAGGCAGCCUGUGUCUCUGUAGCAUGCAGCAUCAGUCCAUCUGUCCCAUCCAUGAGCAGCCAACACACACACACACCUGCCCUGCCCGAUGUAUUUAACUGCAUUUGUGAUGAAGUCAUUCCCAGGUUUGCAUGACAUGAAUAUGAAGAGGGUCAAAGGUGUUUCAUUCUUAGUAAAACUCUCAAAUCUGAUUAAGCCGCAGUAUUUCCAACAAAGAAUGGACAGACAGCUCCGCUGGGAUUAAGAGAGAUGUAGAGAAUAAGGAGGAGGAUAAAAAGGAAGAGAAUUAUAGAGUGAGGAAGUGACCGUGGUUUUAUUUCGAAACGCAAAGCAAAGACUAAAUAGAGGAUUCACAUUAUAUAGCCCAAAAGAGGAGCCAUGUGGCGUGUAAAUUGUACACUAAAUCCUAAACUACUCCCGGACGGGGUCUCUGCUCGGGGGGCUGUGAAGAAAGGACUGACUGGAGGAGUGAAAGGGAAAAGAAGGAUGUUCUCUUUUUCUCUGCGAUGUCGGAUGGGAGUGAUCCGAGGACGGGUUAAAGGAAUAAUGAUUGAGCAUUUGAAGCAGCAUGGGACUUCACACUGCUCCAGUGAUCUAUUGAAGAUCUGUGUGAAGAUGGGGGCCAGCUGGUUAGCACAGGAUCGAAGACACGCUGAUGAUGUCCCGUACACAAAGGGAAACAAAGACUCAGCUGCCAGUGACAGCAGCGGUCUCACCAAGAGGUGCAGUCUUGCUGAUGAGCAGAGAGGUGUCACCACAGUUGAAUUGAUAAAAAAAGAGGGCAGCAGUCUUGGUCUAACCAUCUCCGGAGGCUGUGACAAGGAAGGCAAGCCAAGAGUGUCAAACCUGAGACCAGGAGGGCUCGCAACCCGGAGUGAUCAGCUCAAUGUGGGAGACUACAUCAAGUCAGUGAACGGUAUAAACCUGUCCAAACUCAGACACGAUGAGAUUAUCAGCAUGCUUAAGAACAUUGGUGAGCGUGUGGUGCUGGAGGUGGAGUACGAGCUGCCUCCGUUCGUUCCCAGCAAUCCCUGCAAUGUCAUCUCUAAAACUAUCGAAGUGUGUUUGGAGAAAGAGGGCAACAGCUUUGGCUUCGUUCUGAGAGGGGGCUUCCAUGAGGACUGGCAUAGGGCUCGACCUCUGGUGGUGACCUACGUCAGGCCCGGAGGACCUGCAGACAGGGAGGGUACCCUGCGAGCGGGCGAUCGUGUGUUGAGUGUGAACGGCGUUGCUCUGAACAGACAGAAACAUGCUGACGCUCUGACCCUGAUCAUGCAGAGCAGCCAGGAGGCUUUCUUCCUUAUCGAGUAUGACAUCACGGUCACGGACUCAGUCCAGAAGUCCUCAGGGCCGCUGCAGGUGGAGAUUGCCCACUCCGCAGGCUCAGUACUGGGUCUCAGUCUCACUACCAUCUUCUACAGGAACAAACAGGUCAUUACAAUCCAGAAAAUCAAACCUGCUAGUGUUGCAGACAGGUGUGGUGCUUUGCAUGUUGGGGAUAUUCUCUUGGCUAUAGAUGGCAUGAGCACAGAGCACUGCUCUCUGAUGGAGGCCCAACAGCUUCUGUCAAACUCUGCAGAACUCACGAAACUAGAGAUCCUUCCCUCUCAACACAGCGUUCAUGACACAGUGCGUGUUCAGAGGAGCAGUCAGCGUCAGUGGGACUCUAGUGAGAACUACACCAGCGUUCCUCCAUCGUUCCAAAAAACACCUUCAGCCUGGAGUCACACCACUCCUACACCAUCACACUGCAGAUCUGUGACGUCUGGCAUCUCCACAAACACGUCAGGCUUUCACAGUUACACCUGUGGGACUCAGUCAUCUUAUCCUAAUACUUACCCCUGCAGCACCCUGCCCUCGUUCCCCUCCAGCCCCCGCUGCACCGUCACCAAAAGGAGACAACAGAGGAAAGACCACAAGAGUUCCUUGUCUCUGGCGUCAAGUACAGUGGGCGCUGGUGGUCAGGUUGUACAUAUAGAGACCAGCAAGGUGGUUCUGAGAGGAGAUCCUCUUACUGGGUUCGGGCUUCAGUUACAGGGAGGAGUGUUUGCUACAGAGCCACUGUCAGCACCUGCCUGCAUCCGCUUUAUAGAGCCAGACACACCCGCAGAAAGGUGUGGGCUGUUACAAGUCGGCGACAGACUUCUUUCCAUUAAUGGAAUUCCCACUGAGGAAGGAACAAUGGAAGAGGCCAAUCAGCUGCUUCGAGACGCAGCAUUGGCCAAUAAGGUCACACUGGAAGUGGAGUUUGAUGUUGCAGAGUCGGUUAUUCCCAGCAGUGGCACAUUUCAGGUGAAGCUGCCCAAAAGAUGUGGAGUAGAGCUGGGCAUUACUAUCAGUGCAAGCAAGAAGCCAGGAAAACCUCUGAUCAUCUCAGAGAUACAGAGAGGGAGUAUUGCACACAGAAUAGGAACCCUGGAGCCAGGUGAUCGAUUAUUGGCCAUUGAUAAUGUACGACUGGAUAAUUGUGGAAUGGAAGAAGCUAUGAUGGUUCUCCAGCAGGCUGAGGGCAUGGUUAAACUGCGCAUUCAGAAAGAUGAAGAUAACUUGGAUGAAUUGGAGUCGUCCGGUUCUGUUAUUUUCACAGUCGAACUCAAGAGACAUGGGGGUCCUCUUGGAAUCACCAUUUCUGGCACUGAAGAACCUUUCAACCCCAUUCUGAUCUCCAGUCUGACCCGCAACGGUCUCGCACACAGGACUGGCGCUCUUCAUAUUGGUGAUCGUGUCUUGGCCAUCAAUAGCAUGAGCUUGAAGGGAAAACCUCUUAGCGAAGCCAUUUACCUCCUGCAGACAGCUGGAGACACGGUCACACUCAAGAUCAAAAAACGGUCUGAUCCGCUUUUGGAGUCAGACAGGGGCAGCCCGUCCCGGACGGCCUCGUGCGUGAGUGACACUGAAGACGAUUGCUCAGAUUCUCUCAGGCGCGGUAAAUACUCAGAAUUUCACCGCCUGACCACACCUCCCAGUUUGGAUUCAGCUAUGGACUCGUGGGAUAGCUCUGCCCUGGAUGCUGGCUAUGGAAGUCAAGAGGGUUAUCUACCCUUAAUUUGUUUUCAGGUGUCUAUAUCCAUAGGACGUCUGAUUUUACACUUCACCCUAAUGACUGGAGACGGGCCAAUCACAGGAGCCCACUGACCUCCAGAAGACACGCCCACCAAACCCCAGUGUAUGAUGGGAGGUUGGGUGAGGACGACUGGAUGUAUUCUGGAGAUACUAGACAGGAACUAGAAGGUUGAAUGACCAUAAAGGCUGAUUUCAGAUUUGUAGGAAAGGGACAUUUACUCCUUUGACCUCUCAUAAAACGUAUCCUAGUAAAGCUUGGUUUAUAAUUUUCUUUUCUGGUAAACGUACCACAUCAUUGCUAUGCAACAGCUUUCUCUGUUUUAUUUGUUUUGCCACCACACAUCAGCAUCAAAAUGCCGUUAAACUCCGUGAUAACAUUUGGCAGAAAGGCUUUUUGUUCCGUGUCUACUUCGUACCCAAAGGAAGCUAGUUAUUUUAUCAUAAGACAAAAUCACUCACUGUUCCUGUAAGCUGUUGACAAAGCUUGACAAAGAGCUUUAGGUUGAAUAUCUGUCCAAUUUGAUGACAUUUUUUGAUUCUUGAGUCACAGUAAACCAUUAAGCAUAUGGACUUGUUCACACACAACACCAAAACAGAACUUUUCUGGUAAUGUUACAACUUCUGAUUCCGGGAAUUUGCUGUAACUGAUUACCGGUAUUUCCCAACAGGUCCUGUUCAGAAAUAUCGUAGUAUUGUAGGUGCAAAAAUGUAUUUAUUAAAAAUAUAUACUGAUUUACAUUAGGUCUUAAAGGUGCACUCAGUAAUUCUAAUCCAAUACAUUUUUUGUCAAAUUCUACAAAUACCUCCUCGCAGUCUGCUAGCUGUCCGUUCUGUGGGUGGGCUGAAAAAAAAUCUAGUACUUGUGCACAGCCCUGGCUCUGUAAAUGGGACAAAAACAAAGUGGAUCAGACCAAUCCACACAACACUACUCCAGCAAUUCAGCAACAGGGGGUGGUUCUUGCAUGUGCACAGGAGGGGGGGUGGGGGCAGAGCGAGAGGGAAAUUCAUUAGAAGAGCAACGGCAAAUCUGGCUGAUGCGAACUUUCUAAACUCCAAGGAGGACAAAUGGCUGAGAAACAAGGAUUAUAAAUCGAGGGCGGAGCUUCCAAAGGAGCACUGAAGGGAGGGGUGUGUUUGUUUAGGCAGUUGAGUUCGAAUAUCAACAGUGUUUCUCAGGAAUCGCUGAGUGCACCUUUUAAAGGAAUGUUCUGAGUUCAAUACAAGUUAAGCUCAAUCAACAGUAUUUGUAGCAUAAUGUUGAUUACCACAAAAAUGAUUGACUCGUCCUUUAUUUAGAAUAAAUAAAAAUUGCUGUUACAGUGAGGCACUUACAAUGGAUGUGAAUGGGGCCAGUCCAUAAGCAUUAAAAUACACACUAUUUCAAAAGUAUAGCCACAACAUGUAAAACGUACGUUUGCAUGAUUUUACUGUCAUGUAAUUACUUACUAAACUUACCUGUGUACAGUUACAGUUUAUCCAAUAUUACAACUUUCUUGUCAUGACAACGUAUCACUGGUAAAGUGAUUUUAUCCCACUAAAAUAAUGAACAGAAAUUUGAACACACUAAAAUCGUAUAUGUUUAUGUUUUGUGGCUAUACUUUUGAAACUGUGAAUUGUAAGUGCCAUGCAGUAACAGUGUUUUUUUUUGUUUUUUAUAAACCAGGGAUGUCAAAAUUAUUUUCUGUGGUAAUCAGUGUUAUUAUUUCAGUGUCUUUUGAGCUUAACUUUCUGAACCCAGAACACUCCUUUUAAAUAUUUUUAAAUGGUGACAGUAAAACUUAAAAUAGUAAAUGGAUUAAAGACUAGAAAUUCUUUAAUUUUAUAUAACAACAUAUGCUCUCAUAAUUAAUUAUACAAAUUUGUUAUGAUAGCUAGUGUCAAAAUAAUUAUGAAUUGGGCACUUUGGCUUGAGGUGUCAGCACUAUCGUUGUCAUUUCUAAUGUGUUUAAUGGAAAUUUCAUGGCAUUCCUCUAAAAGUUUUUGGUUUUUAUAUGUUUGUGUUUUUCGUUUCUGUGGCUUAUUCAACAUUCACAUUGUCUAGCACAGAAACCACAAAUCUGUUUGCUUCCACUGUCUCUGUUCCUACUUUUCUCUUUUCUUCUCAGGUUUUCUGUCUCUCGUAUGCCUUACUAAUCAUCCGUGGGCCACUUGCUGUCAUCCGCCCUGUUGUGCUUCUUUUUCAAUCGCUCAUUUCUUGUUUUCCACUUUCUGCUGAGGCUGAACCAGGUCGUGGCCUCUUCAGACUCAUCUGUUUUUUUUCUUUAACCGCCAUUUUUCUUGUACUUGAGAAGGAUCUUUUAUAGUGACUGUUUCAUACGUACAGUUAUACAUAGAGAGAGAGAGAUCCGUUUCCAAUACUACACCUGGCCUUACAUUACCCAGGUUGUUUGCAUUGACACAGAUCUGUCAGUCCUGCACGUUGUCAUGACAAAAACAAUACAGAAGCUCAGGAGAACUACUGGUCGCAAGCUCUUCAGGACCUGGAGACCUGUGGCCAAUCAGAAAUCCUCCGAGAACUGGAG